rnacentral:lncRNA from 1 species
GGGAUAUUAAUCAUCUCUUCUUUUUUUUUUUUAGAAAAAAAUAACAUGCUACCCGCUUCAUUCAUUCAGUAGAUGAAUUAAGCAAUAUGGGUGAGACAUCAAGGCCUCAAGGAUGACGGAAACAAGGAAAGAAAACACACGGAGACGGAUGUAGUUUACAAAGUACAGUUAAUACCUCUAUACUGACUACAAGAUCUAUCUACAGGUCUACAGAUCAGGAAUACCCCUCUGAGCUAUCAGGUGUUUGAUCUCCCCACUAAGCUAUCAGGUGUUUGAUCUUAUGAGUCCCACGGAUCGGGUCCGCCUAGGCCUUCUCAGUAGGUAAAUUAAUCAUCUCUUUUUGUUGGUGAUGUUUGGUUGUUAGGGAGUGUUGUGUGUGUUGUUGUUUUUUCUUUUUAGAGAGAGAGAGAAAGAUAGCAUGCUAUUCGUUUGUUUUUUUUUCUUUAGAAAUAAAUUUAGCUAAAAAUAUAAAGCAACUGGAAUUCGAACUUUGGACUUGGGUAUCAAUUAUCAAAUUUUUUACUACUUGUGCUAAAAACAGUCGGUUUUAUAUUUAACUUCGAACUUGGGUUUUAUAUUUCGCUUUUUCUCCAAUUUGGGAUGUUGUUCAUUGCUUAAGUUGUCUUGUGAAUCAUCAUUUAGGACAUAAUCAAUAUUUCAUAUCCUAAUAUUUUAUAAUCUGACCGUCCCAAUUGCAGGUGACAAAGAAUUUGAUGAUUGGUAUCUGAAACUUAAUUGCUUUAUAUUUUAACUAAGUUCAUUUCUAGAAUA